rnacentral:rRNA from 1 species
CCCUUAGAUGCUCUGGGCCGCACGCGCGCUACACUGGUCGAUGCAACGAGUUUCUUUCCUUGGCCGACAGGCCUGGGCAAUCUUUGAACAUCGAUCGUGAUCGGGAUAGAUUCUUGUAAUUUUUGAUCUUAAACGAGGAAUUCCUAGUAAACGCAAGUCAUCAGCUUGCGUUGAUUACGUCCCUGCCCUUUGUACACACCGCCCGUCGCUCCUACCGAUUGAAUGGUCCGGUGAAGCGUUCGGACCGUGGCCUUUGGACGGUUCGCCGUCUGUUGGCUGCGGGAAGUUCGUUAAACCUUAUCAUUUAGAGGAAGGAGAANUCGUANCA